AGUUUGAUCCUGGCUCAGAACGAACGCUGGCGGCAGGCUUAACACAUGCAAGUCGAGCGCCUCGCAAGAGGAGCGGCAGACGGGUGAGUAACGCGUGGGAAUCUACCCAUCUCUACGGAACAACUCCGGGAAACUGGAGCUAAUACCGUAUACGUCCUUCGGGAGAAAGAUUUAUCGGAGAUGGAUGAGCCCGCGUUGGAUUAGCUAGUUGGUGGGGUAAUGGCCUACCAAGGCGACGAUCCAUAGCUGGUCUGAGAGGAUGAUCAGCCACAUUGGGACUGAGACACGGCCCAAACUCCUACGGGAGGCAGCAGUGGGGAAUAUUGGACAAUGGGCGAAAGCCUGAUCCAGCCAUGCCGCGUGAGUGAUGAAGGCCCUAGGGUUGUAAAGCUCUUUCAACGGUGAAGAUAAUGACG
rnacentral:rRNA from 1 species